rnacentral:rRNA from 1 species
GACGAACGCUGGCGGCGUGCUUAACACAUGCAAGUCACGGGGGUCGUCGCAAGAGAGAACCGGCGAACGGGUGCGUAACACGUGAACAACCUGCCGUUGUGAGGGGGAGUAGCCGGGCUAACGCCCGGGUAACUACCGCAUACGCUGCCCGAGGGGAGGUCCCUUGGGGAGGAAAGCCAUGGCGCAAGCGAUGGCGCACGACGAGGGGUUCGCGGCCUAUCAGCUAGUUGGGGGCGG